CUCACACAGUGCGGAAUUCUUCUCAAACGAACGGUCGGCGCGAGGCUAUCAGCUGGUUUAUCAAUAGCCUAAAAAUCAGAAACCCACAGUGCAACUCCCCAAGUCCUCCUGGCUUUAUGGUGGGCUGGUCUCCAUGAACCCCAAGCAAUUAGUCCCUAAUCUCAAGGUGGCUGAUGUGACUGAGGCAAGAGGCAGCAACAAUCCCUCUUCACUAGCCUCCCUCCACCACCAGCAACUUGUUUCCUGUACAACACGAACUCCCUCUCUUUGCCAAGACCACAUUUUUGUGAACCCUUUUCCACGUAACAAGGUUCCCAUCCCAAUGCCCUGCUGCACAGUCUGCCGUGGUCUGAGGGACAAUGUUCUUAUAAUUGAGUGACCAUUCUUCACCCUGCUUGAAAA